rnacentral:rRNA from 1 species
UACAGGGGGUGCAAACGUUGCUCGGAAUUAUUGGGCGUAAAGCGCGCGUAGGCGGCCGCUUAAGUCGGAUGUGAAAGCCCCUGGCUCAACUGGGGAAGUGCACCCGAAACUGAGUGGCUUGAGUACUAAAGAGGGUCGCGGAAUUCCCGGUGUAGAGGUGAAAUUCGUAGAUAUCGGGAGGAACACCGGUGGCGAAGGCGGCGACCUGGGUAGAUACUGACGCUGAGACGCGAAAGCGUGGGGAGCAAACAGG